rnacentral:rRNA from 1 species
AAGAGACAGCAGUAGCCGCGGGAAUACGGAGGGUGCAAGCGUUAAUCGGAAUUACUGGGCGUAAAGCGCACGCAGGCGGUCUGUCAAGUCAGAUGUGAAAUCCCCGGGCUUAACCUGGGAACUGCAUUUGAAACUGGCAGGCUAGAGUCUUGUAGAGGGGGGUAGAAUUCCAGGUGUAGCGGUGAAAUGCGUAGAGAUCUGGAGGAAUACCGGUGGCGAAGGCGGCCCCCUGGACAAAGACUGACGCUCAGGUGCGAAAGCGUGGGGAGCAAACAGGAUUAGAUACCCGCGUAGUCCCUGUCUCUUAUAC